rnacentral:rRNA from 1 species
UCUUUGACCGUCCGAGUUGUAAUCUAGAGAAGUGCUACCCGUGCUGGACUGUGUACAAGUCUCCUGGAAUGGGGCAUCAUAGAGGGUGAGAAUCCCGUCUUUGACACGGACUGCCAGUGCGCUGUGGGUGUGCUCUCGAAGAGUCGAGUUGUUUGGGAAUGCAGCUCAAAAUGGGUGGUAAAUGCCAUCUAAAGCUAAAUAUUGGCGAGAGACCGAUAGCGAACAAGUACCGUGAGGGAAAGAUGAAAAGAACUUUGGAAAGAGAGUUAAACAGUACGUGAAAUUGCUGAAAGGGAAACGCUUGGAGUCAGUCGCGUUGGCCAGGAAUCAGCCUUGCUUCUGCUUGGUGUACUUUCUGGUUUGACGGGUCAGCAUCAAUCUUGACCGCUGGACAAAGUCUGUGGGAAUGUGGCAUCUUCUGGAUGUGUUAUAGCCCAUGGUCGCAUACGGCGGCUGGGAUUGAGGAACUCAGCGCGCCCGCAAGGGAAUUGGGUCCUCGGACCACAUUUCGCGCUUAGGAUGCUGGCAUAAUGGCUUCAAUCGACCCGUCUUGAAACACGGACCAAGGAGUCUAACAUGCCUGCGAGUGUUUGGGUGGAAAAACCCAUGCGCGCAAUGAAAGUGAAAGUUGAGACCUCUGUCAAAGGAGAGCAUUGACGCCCAGACCAGACCUUCUGCGACGGAUCUGCGGUAGAGCAUGCAUGUUGGGACCCGAAAGAUGGUGAACUAUGCCUGAAUAGGGUGAAGCCAGAGGAAACUCUGGUGGAGGCUCGUAGCGAUUCUGACGUGCAAAUCGAUCGUCAAAUUUGGGUAUAGGGGCGAAAAACUAAUCGAACCAUCUA